rnacentral:rRNA from 1 species
UCUGGGGCAUGAUUGACGCUGAGGCUCGAAAGCGCGGGAAUCAAACAGGAUUAGAUACCCUGGUAGUCCGCGCCGUAAACGAUGAAUACCCGUCGUUGGCGAUACACUGUCAGCGACCAAGCGAAAGCAUUAAGUAUUCCACCUGGGGAGUACGCCGGCAACGGUGAAACUCAAAGGAAUUGACGGGGGCCCGCACAAGCGGAGGAACAUGUGGUUUAAUUCGAUGAUACGCGAGGAACCUUACCCGGGCUUGAACUGAGCAGGACGGGGCGCAGAGACGUGCCCCUUCUUCGGACCUGCUUGGAGGUGCUGCAUGGUUGUCGUCAGCUCGUGCCGUGAGGUGUCGGCUUAAGUGCCAUAACGAGCGCAACCCUUGCCGGUAGUUGCCAUCAGGUAAUGCUGGGCACUCUGGGAAUACUGCCACCGUAAGGUGUGAGGAAGGUGGGGAUGACGUCAAAUCAGCACGGCCCUUACGUCCGGGGCUACACACGUGUUACAAUGGCCGGUACAGAGAGUUGGUCGUGCGCAAGUACGGUCUAAUCCAUAAAACCGGUCUCAGUUCGGACUGGGGUCUGCAACCCGACCCCACGAAGCUGGAUU